UACAGAGGCCUCGAGCGUUAGGCGGAAUCACUGGGCUUAAAGCGUGUGUAGGCGGACUUCUAAGUACCUUGUGAAAUCCCACGGCUUACCCGUGGAACUGCUGGGUAUACUGGUUGUCUUGAGCCACUUAGGGGCUACCGGAACAAAUGGUGGAGCGGUGAAAUGCGUAGAUAUCAUUCGGAACGCCAAUGGUGAAAACAGGUAGCUGGGAGUGUGCUGACGCUGAGACACGAAAGCCAGGGGAGCGAACGGG
rnacentral:rRNA from 1 species